rnacentral:tRNA from 1 species
GAUAAAAUGGCUGAGAAUAAAGGCAAUAAAUUGUAAAUUUAUUUAGGAAUUAAAAAUUCUUUUAUCA